CAGCAGCCCGGUAAUACGGAGGUGGCAAGCGUUGUUCGGAAUUACUGGGCGUAAAGGGCGCGUAGGCGGUUGUGUAAGUCAGAUGUGAAAUCCUUCGGCUUAACCGGAGAACUGCAUUUGAUACUGCAUGACUCGAGUAUUGGAGAGGGAAACGGAAUUCCCGGUGUAGAGGUGAAAUUCGUAGAUAUCGGGAGGAACACCGGUGGCGAAGGCGGUUUCCUGGCCAAAUACUGACGCUGAGGCGCGAAAGCGUGGGUAGCAAACAGGAUUAGAUACCCUGGUAGUCCACGCUGUAAACGGUGAGUGCUGGGUGUGGGAGGUGUAAUGCCUUCUGUGCCGAAGCUAACGCGUUAAGCACUCCGCCUGGGGAGUACGGCCGCAAGGUUGAAACUCAAAGGAAUUGACGG
rnacentral:rRNA from 1 species